UCUCGAUUGGUCUAGUGGUAAGGAUACCUGCUUGUCAUUGGAAGACCAUUUAUUGGUCUAAACAAGCCGCAGGUGGCCGGGGUUCGAUUCCCCGAUCGAGAG
rnacentral:tRNA from 1 species